rnacentral:rRNA from 1 species
GAUGAACGCUGGCGGCGUGCCUAAUACAUGCAAGUCGAGCGAAUGGAUUAAGAGCUUGCUCUUAUGAAGUUAGCGGCGGACGGGUGAGUAACACGUGGGUAACCUGCCCAUAAGACUGGGAUAACUCCGGGAGACCGGGGCUAAUACCGGAUAACAUGUUGAACCGCAUGGUUCGAAAUUGAAAGGCGGCUUCGGAUGUCACUUAUGGAUGGACCCGCGUCGCAUUAGCUAGUUGGUGAGGUAACGGCUCACCAAGGCAACGAUGCGUAGCCGACCUGAGAGGGUGCUCGGCCACACUGGGACUGAGACACGGCCCAGACUCCUACGGGAGGCAGCAGUAGGGAAUCUUCCGCAAUGGACGAAAGUCUGACGGAGCAACGCCGCGUGAGUGAUGAAGGCUUUCGGGUCGUAAAACUCUGUUGUUAGGGAAGAACAAGUGCUAGUUGAAUAAGCUGGCACCUUGACGGUACCUAACCAGAAAGCCACGGCUAACUACGUGCCAGCCGCCGCCGUAA